rnacentral:lncRNA from 1 species
CAGGCAUGCACUGCCAGCUGUGAAAGAUGCCGCUUCCUUGUCACUUCAGAGAAUGAUGCUUCUACAGAAGAUCCCUCUUGCUAUUUCAUUCAGGGAGCUCGGGAGAGGAAGACAAAAAGAAUCAAAUGCAAAGCACAGAUCAUUGAAAGGGCCAGGGUCUGAAGUGAGACAACUCGUGUCACAGUGUUUUCAAACUUGAGAAUGAAGAGAAGA